UGAAAUAAUGCGUAACGGGGUGUCCUGCUUCCCUGAUGGGGGCAGGCUGAAAAGGGAAGCCGGUGCAAAUCCGGCGCGGUCCCGCCACUGUGAGGGGGAAGGGAGACCCACAUAAUGUCACUGUCCAGCACUCAGUAAGAUUGUUUUCAGCUUUGAUAGAAAUUGGUUACUGCUAAGAUAAGGUUACGGCGAAGGGAACCAUAACAUGGCUGAGUGCUGGAUGGGAAGACGUGGAGUUCCGAUGAACCCGAGCCAGGAGACCUGCCCCGUUCAUUAAGCCAUG
rnacentral:ncRNA from 2 species